CUCCUGCGUAGCUCACAGGAACUUUACUCCGUUUACUCUUUACUCUGUUCUGGAGAUCUCGCUGAUGGCGGAAAUGCAGUUGUUCUUUUGUGAUGCUCGAAAGAAGGUCGAAAUGCAAAACCGGGUUCGUUGGCCUUUCGAAGUCACCAUAUUUGCUGGAGGAAGGGAAACAGCGGAGCGAUACUCUCACGGAAUUUGGUUCGAAUGGACACGCGGUCUGAAACAUUGAGACCCCCCCCCCCCCCCCCCCAGUACAUUUUAUCAAUGCACAUAUACAAUAUACCGUAUAUGUGUGUUAUGCCGUAAGGGAGGGGACGUGACUAUUGAUACGUGGACAAGUACGAAAACAUGGCACCGGUGACAGCUGUGCGUCUCAGCUGAGCGCAAAGACAAAGGACGAGUGUUGAGACGGUGUGCAGAGGACAAAUGGCAGGUAACACAGAGAUAUGGAGAGCAAAGGAGUCCAGGGGACAGCACCCUUGGCUAGAUAACAGCAGUCCCAUGUCAUACGCAGCAUGAUUCAAGAAGACAAAAGACAAAAAGUCUGCUUCGUCAUCAGUUUUCUCUCCCAGUACAUGUGGAGACACGUCGGCCGAUUUCCCAAAUCUGGACUGAAUGUUGCUCUUUCCUCUCUUCACUUCUCCCUCCGUGUUCCUCCGUUUUUUUCUUCCCACAGGCCUCUCUGCUCCUUCCCCCGUUGACUUCCGCGAAGAUGGUGAAGAGCGACCGAGGUGCGAGGGGCUGCUUCUUGUAUGGCAGAGGGAGAGGACAGGCGCCACGUAAGCCUGGGUGGUGUCUCGCUGCACAGGAACGUCUAGACGCCCGUGGAAUACGCAGCCGCAGGUUCCUCCGGUACUGCCGACACCCGCGGGACUAUGGGAGAUAUCGCAGUGGACCGCACUCCCCUUUCGAGGGCUGCCCUCGUUCUUAAGAAGACCAGCUUGGCGACCGGAAGGUUGCAUGGAUCUGAUCAUUGGAGAUCCCAGGUGUACUUUUCUCAGAGCAGAGAUAGUGAGGAAGAUGAUGGAUGUGUUGGGAAGACACGGCACACGCGGCGGCCCCGGAAAUCAACGGAAGCGAACGUCGGGCGGCAGGAGAAUUUCUGCGAACGGCUUCCCCGAAAGCCUGCGAUGGAGCCGUGUGCUGGAGCAAGGUAUUUUUACUCUGUCAUCGCGCCGCUUUGUUCCAAGGAGCGCCCCAACGUGUCCGAAUCGGGCGCCGCCGGCCUCGUCUCCGACCAGCGUGCGUGGAAGGGAGUGGAGGUGGAGCAGAGCCACAGUGACACGUUGUAGGAUGGAUGGAGGGAGGGAGCACGCGACAUACGCACUCUCGCACGCACAGACACACGCCUGCCUUAUUAAUUACUGCGUGAGCCGAGGUUUACGCGCGGUGGCGGCGCUCACCUGGUCAACGCGGCGACGCUCGGCCUCGGCCUACAGAGGGCGUGCGACCCGGCGCCACGAGGAGCGGGUCCCGCAGCCAGAGCUUAGCGCGGCAUCACAGCCUCGGUGGCGAAACGACGCAUCUGUUAAAGCACUUAAGAGCAGCUGCUGAUACUCAAAGUGUGUGCUAAUUGACGUAAUUGGAGAGGAGCCACGUCCACGGCUUCGCUGCUUUACCUGCACUCAACGCUUUGCCGCACGGCUGCCGUCAGCGCCCCCCACAGGCCAAUUAGCGGGGGGGGGUGGGCACCACCACCACCACCACCACCACUGUGUGAGUGACAGCAUGGUUGUACAGAGGGCCGGUGCGCGGCGCA
rnacentral:lncRNA from 1 species